rnacentral:rRNA from 1 species
AGCGCGGACUUCGGUCUGGCGGCGAGUGGCGAACGGCCUGAAUAAUACAUCGGAACGUGCCCUGGUUGUGGGGGAUAACUAGUCGAAAGAUUAGCUAAUACCGCAUACGACCUGAGGGUGAAAGCGGGGGACCGUAAGGCCUCGCGCAAUAGGAGCGGCCGAUGUCUGAUUAGCUAGUUGGUGGGGUAAAGGCCCACCAAGGCGACGAUCAGUAGCUGGUCUGAGAGGACGAUCAGCCACACUGGGACUGAGACACGGCCCAGACUCCUACGGGAGGCAGCAGUGGGGAAUUUUGGACAAUGGGGGCAACCCUGAUCCAGCAAUGCCGCGUGUGUGAAGAAGGCCUUCGGGUUGUAAAGCACUUUUGUCCGGAAAGAAAUCGCUCUGGCUAAUACCUGGGGUGGAUGACGGUACCGGAAGAAUAAGCACCGGCUAACUACGUGCCAGCAGCCGCGGUAAUACGUAGGGUGCGAGCGUUAAUCGGAAUUACUGGGCGUAAAGCGUGCGCAGGCGGUUUUGUAAGACAGGCGUGAAAUCCCCG